UACCCUCCCCACUCUUUCUCUAGAUGAGGCGAAUGAGGAGUUCCAGGAUCUGCUUGACGUGUUGCUGCCCCGAGCUCAGAUGUUCGCGCCUCGACUGGUGCAGAUGGAGGAGUUCCACCUCAGCCUGUCUCAGAGCGUGGUUCUCCGUCACCACUGGAUCCUCCCCUUUGUGCAGGUGCUCAAAGACCGCAUGGCCUCUUUCCAAAGGUUCUUCUUUACUGCCAACAGGGUAAAGAUUUAUACCAAUCAAGAGAAAACCAGGACCUUCAUUGGGCUCGAGGUCAGCUCAGGGCAUGCCCAGUUCCUGGACAUGGUUUCAGAGGUGGACAGAGUCAUGAAGGAAUUUGACCUCACUACUUUCUACCAGG
rnacentral:lncRNA from 1 species